GUUCCUUAAUCCCUGUCCUUUUAAAAAAACAGCACCUCAUUACAUCGGAAAAAAGGCACUUUUUAAGAGCCACAUUUGUUUUGUAUCUUGUUACUCUCUCUACUGUUGUAUUGUGUUCUCUCUCUCUCUUGCUGUCUUACUGUCUCUCCCUCCCCUCUGAGUGGGGUUUUUGUUUGUUUGUUUUGUCUUUUUUUGUCCCUGAGUGUUUAUAGUGUGUUUAUAUUUUGUGCCAUGUCUGAUCCUGAGAUGGACCGUCUCCUGAAUGAGAUGAGUGACCUUGUCGAUCAGGCUGAACAUCAAGCUCACCUCCAACAGCUCAUUAGCAUGCACCAGGAAGCAGAACCAUCCACCGGUCAGCCUUCCACCAGUAAUCCAUCCACCAGCCGGCCAUCAAAAAGCAAGCAAGAUGUUAGGUGGAUUAAGAGGGACAGUGAUGGAAACAUUAUUUACGGCAGGCCCAGAUCAUCCCGGAAACAAGCAGCAGGUCCCAGUCACAGCCAGAGUCGAAAGACUGGUGUCUCUCAUAUCAGGGCUCCUGAAACCAGUGCGGAAAUGACCAGUGACUUUCCUUCCGUUACUGCAGAGUCCUUCCUUCAAGAGUUUAAAAGCUCACUGUUUGAGGAAAUACAUGACGAUGAAACGGUACUUCAAGCCUCAACAGACUGGUCGACCCGAAAGAGCCUCAUAUCAGGGUGGUGGGAGAAAGAGAGACCCCGACUGGUCAACACCAUGGUGGCUCGACAACAUGCGGCAACUCGGAUCUGCCAACAUUGUGGAAAUGGUCCAGCCGUAAUCCGUUGUUGUGACUGCCGACCACACCCAUUCCUCUGUGGUCAGUGUGAUGUCAGGGUCCACCGAGGUCAAGUGUUCCACAACAGGGAUUCGAUGACACAUGCAUUCUUUCAUCCAUUGCCUCCCACAACUUGUGUUGUGGAGAGGGUUCUAACCCAGUGUGUGCGUCUUGUACCUUUGGAGAUGCCAGAGACAAUAUGCGGUUGUCUACGAGUAUCGUCCAGUGUCAUCGCAGGACAGUCCAUAGUUGUGGUUACAAUGAAUGGGCGAUAUGAUCUCAGAUUGCCUCAGAUUAGAUGCAAAGCAUGUGAAGCCACUUGGAGUCCUGGAGUGGAUGACCUGAUCCGUAAUGACUACUGGCCUGCCACUUCUCACUAUUCAACUGUGUAUGCAACAGAUGUCCUUUUUUCUUUUGAAGAACUGAAGAUGGCAGCACCAGGGAUGUCUAGCCAAGCAUUUCUUAGAAUGCUGGAUCAACGCACUGUUCGCUUUGGCCGUAGCGGAAACAUCACAGCAGACAGCUUCCGGAAAAGCUUUUUGGAGUGGGAAGCUGUCCGAUUCGAAGUGGACAAAUUAUGCCAGGAGGACCACUUUGACUGCCCAGCGUGCAGCCCAGACAUGCUUGCAGUAUCCGUUGAUGGAAACCGUAAGCACUACAGAUUCAAGAGUGCAGCAAGAUCGGAGGAAAAAGCCAUCUUUGAUGGCGUGUUCAUCGCAAAUGAUGAUGAUGUAGCAAGAUUCGUUGACUAUGUCCAUACCUCAACCAGUCAUGUCUCUGGAAGAGGUGUCUGUGGAGGGCAAUGGUCAGCGGCACGUGAAACGUCUCAGAAGUCCUCAGGAAAAACAGACGAGGAGGGCCUGGAGCUCGCUGUAUGUCGUCAUGGGGUUCUCCUUCGUGCCCUCAAUAUGUUCAGGGGGGAGAUUUUUGCCUACCCCCUGUACCUCCGAAAGCAAAUGGCCUGUAAGCCAGUUAAAUUUUUUGCAAUGGAUGUGGCAUGCAAGUACUGGCCUUACCUCCAGAGAGUGACAGAGAAAUGCCCUGAGCUUGAGGAUCUCCUCACCAUGAGGCCAUUUCUUUCUGUUUUUCAUGCCAAAGCUCAUGAUUUCAAAUGUGAGGUAAAAUGGAGUGGAGCAUAUCAGGAGGGGGCUGGUUCGACUCUUGGGGAAGAGGUGGAGCAGUGCAACGCCUUCCUCUCGAGGAUUGCUGUUACGACAAAGCACAUGUCAAAAGCAGGACGCAUAGACAUGCUGACGAUCAUGGCCAUGCGCUGGAACCAACAAAAAGUUUGA
ensembl:lncRNA